GAUGAACGCUGGCGGCGUGCCUAAUACAUGCAAGUCGAGCGAACAGACGAGGAGCUUGCUCCUCUGACGUUAGCGGCGGACGGGUGAGUAACACGUGGAUAACCUACCUAUAAGACUGGGAUAACUUCGGGAAACCGGAGCUAAUACCGGAUAAUAUAUUGAACCGCAUGGUUCAAUAGUGAAAGACGGUUUUGCUGUCUCUUAUAGAUGGAUCCGCGUCGCAUUAGCUAGUUGGUAAGGUAACGGCUUACCAAGGCAACGAUACAGAGCCGACCUGAGAGGGAGGUCGGCCACAAUGGGACUGAGAACCGGACCAAACGACGACGGGAGGCCGCAGUAGGGAAUAUUCGGAAAUGGACGAAAGUAUGAAAGAGUAAAUCCGCGGGAGUGAAGAAGGUUUUCGGAUAGUAAAAAUCUGUUGGUAGAGAAGAACGAUGGGGAGAGGGGAAAGCUCAUCAAGGGACGGGAACUACCCAGAAAGGGACGGCUAACGACGGG
rnacentral:rRNA from 1 species